rnacentral:rRNA from 1 species
GAUGAACGCUGGCGGCGUGCCUAAUACAUGCAAGUCGAGCGAACGGACGAGAAGCUUGCUUCUCUGAUGUUAGCGGCGGACGGGUGAGUAACACGUGGAUAACUUACCUAUAAGACUGGGAUAACUUCGGGAAACCGGAGCUAAUACCGGAUAAUAUUUUGAACCGCAUGGUUCAAAAGUGAAAGACGGUCUUGCUGUCGCUUAUAGAUGGAUCCGCGCUGCAUUAGCUAGUUGGUAAGGUAACGGCUUACCAAGGCAACGAUGCAUAGCCGACCUGAGAGGGUGAUCGGCCACACUGGAACUGAGACACGGUCCAGACUCCUACGGGAGGCAGCAGUAGGGAAUCUUCCGCAAUGGGCGAAAGCCUGACGGAGCAACGCCGCGUGAGUGAUGAAGGUCUUCGGAUCGUAAAACUCUGUUAUUAGGGAAGAACAUAUGUGUAAGUAGCUGUGCACAUCUUGACGGUACCUAAUCAGAAAGCCACGGCUAACUACGUG